rnacentral:rRNA from 1 species
GAUGAACGCUGGCGGCGUGCCUAAUACAUGCAAGUCGAGCGAACGGACGAGAAGCUUGCUUUUCUGAUGUUAGCGGCGGACGGGUGAGUAACACGUGGAUAACCUACCUAUAAGACUGGGAUAACUUCGGGAAACCGGAGCUAAUACCGGAUAAUAUUUUGAACCGCAUGGUUCAAAAGUGAAAGACGGUCCUGCUGUCACUUAUAGAUGGAUCCGCGCUGCAUUAGCUAGUUGGUAAGGUAACGGCUUACCAGGGCAACGAUGCAUAGCCGACCUGAGAGGGUGAUCGGCCACACUGGAACUGAGACACGGUCCAGACUCCUACGGGAGGCAGCAGUAGGGAAUCUUCCGCAAUGGGCGAAAGCCUGACGGAGCAACGCCGCGUGAGUGAUGAAGGUCUUCGGAUCGUAAAACUCUGUUAUUAGGGAAGAACAUAUGUGUAAGUAACUGUGCACAUCUUGACGGUACCUAAUCAGAAAGCCACGGCUAACUACGUG